ACACACACACACACACACACACACACACAGAGAGAGAAAGACCAAGGCAGAUGGACACAUUUUCUGACCCCAAGUCCAAGAGGUGGGUCACCACACAGCUGCACAAAGUCACCCCAGGAUGACAUCAGGCAGGAGGAAAACAGUCCAUGCUGAGGGAGGGGAACCAGAAAUAAUGAUUAGGGGGGAAAGAAAACAAACACUGGUAAGAAAAGAACAAGGCCAAGUUGAGAUAAACACAGAUUAGAAAUGCAAAUUACAGCACAAGGUGCCUUGGGAAACAGCGGGGCUGGGGCUGGAGCAAACAAGUCAUAAAGUGAGAGGCAGGAAGCAGGAGGGGCCAGGCAGAGAGAGAAAUACUAGCUCUGUGUGCUGAGGAGGGGUGGGGUGAGAGGGAUACCUGUGACGUGGGAGUGUGGGAGUGCUGAGGGGGUGUGGGGGCGUGGAGCAUGUAGGGAGAUGUGGGGGCAUGAGAUGUAUGUGAGAGGUUUAUUACUGUGUGUGUGUGUGUGUGUGUGUAUGUGCGCGCACGUGCGUGCGUGCGUGUGCGUGUGGUGUGGGUAUGUGUGUGGUUUGUAGGAUGUAUGGAAGGUGUAGGAAGGACGUGGGGUACAUAUGUCAAUUUGUAUGUGUAUGUAUGGUGUCUGUGUGGGUGUAUCUGUGUGUGUCUGUGUGUCUCUCUCUAUAUAUGUGUCUGUGUGUCUCUCUGUGUGUGUGCGUGUUUCUCUGUGUGUAUGUGUCUCUGUUUGUGAGUCUGUGUGUGUCUGUGUUUAUGUGUCUGUGUGUGCCUGUGCAUGUGUAUCUGUGUGGGUGUCUCUGUAUGUGUGUCUGUGUGUGCGUGUUUUUCUCUGUGUGUAUGUGUCUCUGUAUCUGUAUGUGUGUGUCUGUGUGUGUCUCUGUGUGUGUCUGUGUCUCUGUGUGUGUGUCUGUGUUUAUGUGUCUGUGUGUGCCUGUGCAUGUGUAUCUGUGUAUGUGUCUCUGUAUCUGUGUGUGUGUCUGUGUGUGUCUCUGUUUGUGUAGUUCAGAGAGCAGUUUUAGGCAUUAUUCCUUAAGAGCACUGCCCGUUUUGCUUUAGAGACUGGGUCUCUCAGUGAUCUAAGGCUCACUGAAUAGGCUAGGCUGGCUGGCCAUAGCAGAGCAUAAGGACUUGGACUGGAAGUGCAUGGUUGCCAGGCCAGGAAAUCUGGGAAGCAGCCUCCGUGUCCACAGAGCAGAGGAGAAACAUCUGGCAGCCUGUGGGCAGGCUGAGCCCAGAUGUGAGUUUGUGGGAUUGACUGCUGUGUGCUGUACUGUCCUAUGUCCUUGUACUGAUUCAUUCUCUUCAAAAGGAAAAAGGAAUUGGAAAAAAAAAAAAGCAAUGAGCAUGCAUUAUGGAUGAGAACGGAACCCUGAGAGUUCUGGAAAUACAGCAGGGACAAGCUGCUAAAGGGAAAGCCUUGGCUCUUCCUGUCCGCAGGGAAGCAGGAGACACAACCCUGCAUCUCCACUGUGGGAACAGGACCAAUACCUUUGCAACUCUUCUGAGAUCUGCCAUGUGGUCAAUAGCCCUUUGGCAUCACUGCUGCCUCUGGCUAGUCUGCAUAGACCUGUUAGGUCUCUUCAUGAAGCUGCGGACUCCAGGGGUCCAGACUCCCACUGGCUUAUAACACUGGCAAGCAUGGGAGGUGGCCUGAGCUCAAGUCCAUUGAUGGGGAUUGAGGAUGGCAGGAGCCCAGCCCUUUGUCCUGACCUCUGUGUCUUUUGAUUCUAUUGUACAAAAAGGAGGUUACUGCACAACCCUGAGGCACCUGUAAGCAACAGCAUGCUGCUGAGUCUGUGGUAGGGACAUGUGACCAGUAGGUGGAGCCCUUGGUCUCACAAUUCCAGUCCACUCCCUAGCUCAGAGACCAACUUCAACUCAGCCUCAGCCUUACCAGGCCAGCAUGGCUUCUCUGGCUACUCGGAUAGUAUGAAAACACCCGCACGAGUCACAGGGAUGGUCCCAGCCAAGGCUCUCGUCUCCUGGAGGAACAUCGCACCUCCCACUCUGCUGUGGCUGGGUCCCUUGCAAUCAGAAGCUCUGACUCAGAAGAUCUCAGCAACACCCGUGUAUCAGCCACUGCCAUGUCUGACCAAAGACAGCUGUCCCCAAGCCUGACAAUCUGAGUGUGAUCCCCAGGAACCAUGAAGUGGAAUGGGAGAAGCCAUUCCCACAUGUUGUCCUUUGACCUCGACAUGUAUGCCAAGAAAGCAGCUGCUAAUGUGUGGAGCAGGGGCAGGACAUCACUGACAAGAGCUGGUCACUGUCAUCAGAGCUGCCAUCAUGGGUCAGCUCUGGCUUCAGAAGGCCCUGGAAAGCACAACACAGCUCUUCCUGAACGUCACUUGCUUCCAUCGUUCAGUCAGUCUGUGGGGCUCUCCCCCCUGGUCCUGUUUGUUCACCCUUCCCUGGCUCUAUGGUUAGAAACAGUACAACCAGGAAGUACUUCAAUGUUCCCUGCCCAACACCCUGGACUCAGAUGAGGCUGAUGUGUGGUGCCUCGUUCCUGUGGGGUGGGGUGGGAAGGGAUGGGGUUUCUAACAUGAGGAGGGGGUUGUUUGCACCAACUAUAGACACACUUGAGUAAGCCACAGCUGCGAUGGUCCUUGGGUCUGACUCAUCUAUGAGGAGUCUCCUUGACGAUGGAGUACCCUUACUUGAGCUCUAUCACUCAAGCUAACGGCGCCUGAUACAGAAACAGCAUUCAAAGCCAACACCAAACUCUUUCCAGCCACGAGUGGCAGUGCAUGCUUGCAACCCAAGCACUCAGGAGGCUGAGGCAGGAAGGCUGUGAGUUCAUGGUCAGCCUGGGCUACAUAGCAAGACUCUUUUCUUUAAAAAAAAAAAAAAAAAAGUGAAAAAUCAGGUGUGGUGACACACAUCUUUAAUCCCUCCCAUAACUUAAGGGACAAAAGCAGAUGGGUUUCUGUGAGUUCAAGGCCAACCUCAUCUUCACAAUGAGACUUUGAGUGACCCAGGGAUGUGGCUAGCAUGCAGGAAGCUCUGGGUUCCAUCCCCAGCACUGAGCAGGUAGAAGCAAGGGGCUCAGAAGUUCAAGGUCAGCCUCAGCUGUGGGAGCUCACAGCAGCUUGAGAGCAACACGCUGCCUCAAAGUAAAACCUCUAGCUUUUUUUUUAAAGACCUACUUAGGAGUAAGUGAUAAGAACCUCCUCAAACCGUGGUCAGCCUCUCUCUAGGUAAUGAAUCCACUUUAAAUUUGUCUCCCUCCAGCCCAGACAGCAUCUCACUAUGUAGCUCUGACUGACUAGAACUCAUUAGGGGAAACCUGUACAGAAAAGGUACGCUGUGGAGCUAGAAAGAUGGCUUUAUGGCUCAGAGCUAUAAAGUGCUGAGUCUUCUAGCACAGCAGCAAACACUUUUUAUGGUUGAGCCAUCUCUCUACAACCCCUCUUUCUUUGAUUAAAGAUUUAUUUACUUAGUGCA